AUUGAACGCUGGCGGAAUGCUUUACACAUGCAAGUCGAACGGCAGCACGGGGCAACCUGGUGGCGAGUGGCGAACGGGUGAGUAAUACAUCGGAACGUGCCCAAUCGUGGGGGAUAACGUAGCGAAAGUUACGCUAAUACCGCAUACGAUCUACGGAUGAAAGCGGGGGAUCGCAAGACCUCGCGCGAAUGGAGCGGCCGAUGUCAGAUUAGGUAGUUGGUGGGGUAAAGGCUCACCAAGCCAACGAUCUGUAGCUGGUCUGAGAGGACGACCAGCCACACUGGAACUGAGACACGGUCCAGACCCCUACGGGAGGCAGCAGUGGGGAAUUUUGGACAAUGGGCGCAAGCCUGAUCCAGCCAUUCCGCGUGCAGGAUGAAGGCCUUCGGGUUGUAAACUGCUUUUGUACGGAACGAAACGGCGAGCUCUAAUACAGUUUGCUAAUGACGGUACCGUAAGAAUAAGCACCGGCUAACUACGUG
rnacentral:rRNA from 1 species